rnacentral:misc_RNA from 1 species
GGAAGUCAACGUCGUAACAAGGUUUCCGUAGGUGAACCUGCGGAAGGAUCAUUAAUGAGUUGUCAUGGGGUUCGAUGCUGGCAGCCAGUUUUUGGAUGCAUGUGCUUGCCCUAACAAUCAUCUUCUUCCAAACACCUGUGCACAUUUUUGAGGGAGUCUUGAGUUGGUUGCCGCUCUUGGGUGAUUUUCUCACAUUCCCUUAAAUCAUUAUACGCUAUUAACAAUGUUGAACGUGCUCUGUGCCGCAAGGCCAUUAAUAUAAUACAACUUUUAACAACGGAUCUCUUGGCUCUC